CUGACUUUGGGCUUUUCCAGCCUCCCUGGAGUGCUACUGUAUCUGUGAGGAUAAUGCAUGUUCUCAACAUCCCAGAGAGCCCAUGGACUCAUACAAAAUGGGUACUGAGAAUGUAGCAGAAGAUGACAGCCAUGCUGAUUGCUACUGAAGACCCUCCCCACAUCACUCAUCAUUUAUCGAAGGAGGAAAAAGUGAUUCAAGAAGGCAGAUGUCAGCCAAAAAAGAAUCAUCUCUGGGGGAAGAAAAAGUUUCCAGGCACUGAAAGAAUUGAGAAAGCACUUUUGCAGAAAGUCUGAGGCUAGCCAACUGGUCCUUAGGCUGUGGUAUAAUUCUAACAGUUAACUAGGCAAGGGGGCUCCUGCAGAAGCAGACCUACACUAUUUCCUCGGAAAAGGUCAGAGUGAAGAGUUAUUAUAUCCAAAUGAUCAACUCUUCAAUGACACAAGUUCUAAUAUAAUAAGAGAAGCACAUUAGUUUCAAGGAAUGGAAUGGAAUCUAUAACAUCUGAGUUCUGGUCCUGACUGGGUCACUGCCUCGCUGUGCUGAAUCACUUCACCACCCUGUGUAUCAGAGGGUUUGAACACCAAGUGUGGAAACAGACAGUGUAUACGGUGUCACGGCGCCCCAUGCACUGACUGUGGUGCUCGGUCCCACUGCAGCUGCACACACGCUCAGAAUGCUCCUAACUGCAGCGCUCCAGGAGGCACAGCCUCCCCGACGGCUGGUUCGUAGAGUCAAUAUGUGAGAUCCCACAGGUGGUCACCCAUGUCUCAGCCAGUUCUCACACAUGGUUUAAAAACUGCCCCCGUGCUGUCGUCAUCCUUGGUCCUAGCUGCCUCUAUUAUGCCAGAAUAACAGGUGCUCUGGAAUCCUUCUGUUUCACCUCCCCAUGCUCAGAACGUGGUUCAAGUGACAUAAGAGAGAGAUGACUGAGUCGACAGAGAAAAUGAAGAGAGAUUCUCAGAGCAGUCCCGGCAGAAGAGAAGAUUUUCCUGUUAGAGAAAGGCUUCUCAUCGUUCCAGACUUUUAUUUGCAAACUAGCAUUUCACACUACACUCUGGCACCCAGCUAACAUUAGUUUUUGUUUUGUUUAAUAAAUGUGUAUCCACCCACACACAGAGCCAACAUUCUGCUCAUUUCCUGAACUUGCUGUGAAUCAGCUUAACGCUCCCCACUGUGCCAGCUCAUCUGCCCACCUGGCUUGCAACCAAAUCACUACUUAGUUCUAAGCUUGCAAAUUCCAAAAGCAAAAUUACUCAACCUUGUAAUAACAAGAAUGUUUCAUAUAUA